rnacentral:rRNA from 1 species
UGAACGCUGGCGGCGUGCCUAACACAUGCAAGUCGAACGGAGUCCAGCCUUUAAGACCUUCGGGUCAAAGAGGGGAAGACUGAGUGGCGGACGGGUGAGUAACACGUGGGCAACCUGGCUCAUAGAGGGGGAUAACAGAGAGAAAUUUCUGCUAAUACCGCAUAAGCACACACUGCCGCAUGGCAGAGGGUGAAAAGAGAAUCGCUAUGAGAUGGACCCGCGUCUGAUUAGCCAGUUGGCAGGGUAAGAGCCUACCAAAGCGACGAUCAGUAGCCGAUCUGAGAGGAUGAACGGCCACAUUGGGACUGAGACACGGCCCAAACUCCUACGGGAGGCAGCAGUGGGGGAUAUUGCACAAUGGGGGGAACACUGAUGCAGCGACGCCGCGUGAGUGAAGAAGUAUUUCGGUAUGUAAAGCUCUAUCAGCAGGGAAGAUAAUGACAGUACCUGAAUAAGAAGCCCCGGCUAACUACGU